UACGAAGGGGGCUAGCGUUGCUCGGAAUCACUGGGCGUAAAGCGCACGUAGGCGGCUUUUUAAGUCAGGGGUGAAAUCCUGGAGCUCAACUCCAGAACUGCCUUUGAUACUGAGAAGCUUGAGUCCGGGAGAGGUGAGUGGAACUGCGAGUGUAGAGGUGAAAUUCGUAGAUAUUCGCAAGAACACCAGUGGCGAAGGCAGCUCGCUGGGACGGUACUGACGCUGAGACGCGAAAGCGUGGGGAGCGAACAGG
rnacentral:rRNA from 1 species